rnacentral:rRNA from 1 species
CGUAGGGCGCAAGCGUUGUCCGGAUUCACUGGGUGUAAAGGGUGCGCAGGCGGACUGGCAAGUCAGAGGUGAAAUCUCACAGCUCAACUGUGAAACUGCCUUUGAUACUGCUGGUCUUGAGUCAGGGAGAGGUUGAUGGAAUUCCAGGUGUAGCGGUGAAAUGCGUAGAUAUCUGGAAGAACACCGGUGGCGAAGGCGGUCAACUGGCCCUGAACUGACGCUCGAGGCACGAAAGCGUGGGGAUCAAACAGGAUUAGAUACCCUGGUAGUCCACGCCCUAAACGAUGAAUACUUGGUGUUGGCUUUUUUUAGUCAGUGCCGAAGGAAACCUGAUAAGUAUUCCACCUGGGGAGUACGCUCGCAAGGGUG